rnacentral:rRNA from 1 species
GAUGAACGCUAGCUACAGGCUUAACACAUGCAAGUCGAGGGGAAACGAUAUUGGAAGCUUGCUUCCGAUAGGCGUCGACCGGCGCACGGGUGAGUAACGCGUAUCCAACCUGCCCACCACUUGGGAAUAACCUUGCGAAAGUAAGACUAAUGCCCAAUGAUAUCUCUAGAAGACAUCUUAAGGAGAUUAAAGCUUUAUCGGUGAUGGAUGGGGAUGCGUCUGAUUAGCUUGUUGGCGGGGUAACGGCCCACCAAGGCGACGAUCAGUAGGGGUUCUAAGAGGAAGGUCCCCCACAUUGGAACUGAGACACGGUCCAAACUCCUACGGGAGGCAGCAGUGAGGAAUAUUGGUCAAUGGGCGAGAGCCUGAACCAGCCAAGUAGCGUGCAGGAUGACGGCCCUAUGGGUUGUAAACUGCUUUUAUAAGGGAAUAAAGUUAGUCUCGUGAGACUUUUUGCAUGUACCUUAUGAAUAAGGACCGGCUAAUUCCGUGCCAGCCGCCGCAGUAA